GACGAACGCUGGCGGCGUGCUUAACACAUGCAAGUCGAACGGAAAGGCCCUGCUUUUGUGGGGUGCUCGAGUGGCGAACGGGUGAGUAACACGUGAGUAACCUGCCCUUGACUUUGGGAUAACUUCAGGAAACUGGGGCUAAUACCGGAUAGGAGCUCCUGCUGCAUGGUGGGGGUUGGAAAGUUUCGGCGGUUUGGGAUGGACUCGCGGCUUAGCAGCUUGUUGGUGGGGUAGUGGCUUACCAAGGCUUUGACGGGUAGCCGGCCUGAGAGGGUGACCGGCCACAUUGGGACUGAGAUACGGCCCAGACUCCUACGGGAGGCAGCAGUGGGGAAUAGUGCACAAUGGGCGGAAGCCUGAUGCAGCAACGCCGCGUGCUGGAUGACGGCCUUCGGGUUGUAAACCGUUUUCGCCUGUGACGAAGCGUGAGUGACGGUAAUGGGUAAAGAAGCACCGGCUAACUACGUG
rnacentral:rRNA from 1 species